AUUGAACGCUGGCGGCAGGCCUAACACAUGCCAGUCGAACGGUAACAGGAAGAAGCUUGCUUCUUUGCUGACGAGUGGCGGACGGGUGAGUAAUGUCUGGGAAACUGCCUGAUGGAGGGGGAUAACUACUGGAAACGGUAGCUAAUACCGCAUAACGUCGCAAGACCAAAGAGGGGGACCUUCGGGCCUCUUGCCAUCGGAUGUGCCCAGAUGGGAUUAGCUAGUAGGUGGGGUAACGGCUCACCUAGGCGACGAUCCCUAGCUGGUCUGAGAGGAUGACCAGCCACACUGGAACUGAGACACGGUCCAGACUCCUACGGGAGGCAGCAGUGGGGAAUAUUGCACAAUGGGCGCAAGCCUGAUGCAGCCAUGCCGCGUGUAUGAAUAAGGCCUUCGGGUUGUAAAGUACUUUCAGCGGGGAGGAAGGGAGUAAAGUUAAUACCUUUGCUCAUUGACGUUACCCGCAGAAGAAGCACCGGCUAACUCCGUG
rnacentral:rRNA from 1 species